UAGGGAAUAUUGGACAAUGGGCGAAAGCCUGAUCCAGCAAUGCCGCGUGAGUGAUGAAGGCCUUAGGGUUGUAAAGCUCUUUUACCCGGGAUGAUAAUGACAGUACCGGGAGAAUAAGCCCCGGCUAACUCCGUGCCAGCAGCCGCGGUAAUACGGAGGGGGCUAGCGUUGUUCGGAAUUACUGGGCGUAAAGCGCACGUAGGCGGCGAUUUAAGUCAGAGGUGAAAGCCCGGGGCUCAACCCCGGAAUAGCCUUUGAGACUGGAUUGCUUGAACAUCGGAGAGGUGAGUGGAAUUCCGAGUGUAGAGGUGAAAUUCGUAGAUAUUCGGAAGAACACCAGUGGCGAAGGCGGCUCACUGGACGAUUGUUGACGCUGAGGUGCGAAAGCGUGGGGAGCAAACA
rnacentral:rRNA from 1 species